UAGGGAAUCUUCCACAAUGGACGCAAGUCUGAUGGAGCAACGCCGCGUGAGUGAAGAAGGUUUUCGGAUCGUAAAGCUCUGUUGUUGGUGAAGAAGGAUAGAGGUAGUAACUGGCCUUUAUUUGACGGUAAUCAACCAGAAAGUCACGGCUAACUACGUGCCAGCAGCCGCGGUAAUACGUAGGUGGCAAGCGUUGUCCGGAUUUAUUGGGCGUAAAGCGAGCGCAGGCGGAAGAAUAAGUCUGAUGUGAAAGCCCUUGGCUUAACCGUGGAACGGCAUCGUAAACUGUUUUUCUUGAGUGCAGAAGAGGGGAGUGGAAUUCCAUGUGUAGCGGUGGAAUGCGUAGUUAUAUGGAAGAACACCUGUGGAGAAGGCGAAUCUAUGGUCUGCAGCUGACGAUGAGGCACGAAAGCAUGGGUAGCGAACA
rnacentral:rRNA from 1 species